rnacentral:rRNA from 2 species
CAAAUCAGGUAGGACUACCCGCUGAACUUAA